rnacentral:rRNA from 1 species
GUUUGAUUAUGGCUCAGGACGAACGCUGGCGGCGUGCCUAAUGCAUGCAAGUCGCACGCAGAGUGCUUGCACUCUGAGUGGCGCACGGCUGAGUAGCACGUGGGAACGUACCCUCUGGUGGGGGAUAACGCCGCGAAAGCGACGCUAAUCCCGCAUAGCUUCUGCGGAAGAAAGCGUGGCAACACGCGCCAGGGGAGCGGCCCGCGGCCCAUCAGGUCGUUGGUGUGGUAACGGCGCACCAAGCCGCUGACGGGUAGCUGGUCUGUGAGGACAGACAGCCAGACUGGGACUGAGAAACGGCCCAGACUCCUACGGGAGGCAGCAGCAAGGAAUUUUCGUCAAUGGGGGCAACCCUGAACGAGCAACGCCGCGUGGAGGAUGACGGCCUUCGGGUUGUAAACUCCUUUUGGGGGGGAAGACAUCGACGGUACCCCCUGAAUAAGGCUCGGCUAACUCUGUGCCAGCAGCCGCGGUAAGACAGAGGAGCCAAGCGUUGUCCGGACUGACUGGGCGUAAAGCGCACGCAAGCUGCGCUGCGCGUGGGGUGUGAAAGCUCCUGCCUUACCUGCACAGAAGCUAUCCCAUACUGCAGCGCUUGAACCGUGCAAACCGUCCGCAAAACUGCCGCGUGUAACGCUUUAAUGCGUAGAGAUCGGCAGGAACACCCAGGGGGAAACCAGCGGACUGGGCAUCGGCUGACGCUCAGGUGCGACAGCGUGGGGAGCGAACCGGAUUAGAUACCCGGGUAGUCCACGCCAUAAACGAUGGACACUCGGCAUCUGGCGCCGAUUAUCUCGGCGCUGGGUGCCCAAGCUAACGCGGAAGUGUCCCGCCUGGGAACUACGAGCGCAAGCUUAAAACUCAAAGGAAUUGACGGGGGCCCGCACAAGCAGCGGAGCGUGUGGUUUAAUUCGACGCAACGCGCAGAACCUUACCCAGAUUGGACAUGCCACUGCAAGCGCCUGAAAGGGCGUCGCCUUCGAGGGUGUGGCACAGAUGCUGCAUGGCUGUCGUCAGCUCGUGUCGUGAGAUGUUGGGUUAAGUCCCGCAACGAGCGCAACCCCUACGGUCAGUUACCUCGUGUCUGGCCGGACUGCCCGUUUAGGGAGGAAGGCGGGGAUGACGUCAAGUCCGCAUGGCUCUUACAUCUGGGGCGACACACACGCUACAAUGGCGCCGACAGCGCGCAGCCACGGAGCAAUCCGGCGCAAAUCGCCAAACGGCGUCUCAGUGCAGAUUGGGGGCUGCAACUCGCCCCCAUGAAGGCGGAGUUGCUAGUAACCGCGUAUCAGCCAUGGCGCGGUGAAUACGUACCCGGGCCUUGUACACACCGCCCGUCACGUCAUGGGAGUGGUCAAUGCUUGAAGUCCGUGGGCCAACCCGUCUGCAAAGAUGGGGGGCAGCGGCCGAGGGCAGGGGCCGCGACUGGGACGAAGUCGUAACAAGGUAGCC